GCUAUUCCCUCCGUCCAACAAAAGAUGUCUCAAGUUUGUCAAAAUUUGGAUGUAUCGAUCUAGACAUGAACUUAGUGUAUAGAUGCAUUUAAAUUUAGUUAAAGUUGAAACAUUCUUUGUUGAACGGAGGAUGAAGGAA
rnacentral:pre_miRNA from 1 species